CCUACUUAACUCAGUUGGUUAGAGUAUCCGUCUCAUACGCGGAAAUGCACUGGUUCAAAUCCAGUAGUAGG
rnacentral:tRNA from 1 species